AACGAACGCUGGCGGCAGGCCUAACACAUGCAAGUCGGGCGGGGGUAGCAAUACCCUAGCGGCGAACGGGUGAGGAAUGCUUGGGAAUCUGCCUGGUAGUGGGGAUAACGUUCCGAAAGGAACGCUAAUACCGCAUACGUCCUACGGGAGAAAGGGGGGAUCUUCGGACCUCUCGCUAUCAGAUGAGCCCAAGCGGGAUUAGCUAGUUGGUGAGGUAAAGGCUCACCAAGGCGACGAUCCCUAGCUGGUCUGAGAGGAUGAUCAGCCACACUGGAACUGAGACACGGUCCAGACUCCUACGGGAGGCAGCAGUGGGGAAUAUUGGACAAUGGGCGAAAGCCUGAUCCAGCCAUGCCGCGUGUGUGAAGAAGGCCU
rnacentral:rRNA from 1 species